UGUGAAUCUCCUGUAUUCAUGUGAUACAUAUUUUAUUUUCCAGCCUGGAACUGAUGCCAACAUGGAGCUACCCCAGCUACCCCUGCCAGCUUCGCCCAUCCAGACCCGCUCCACUGCCACUAGACCAGGGCUGGCUGGCUUCCACUGAGAUGAUCUGAAGAGGAGCUGGAGAAAGCAGAGCUACAUUUAAGAUGACACGGACCGACCCGCCUGACAUACUGGUGUCUACAGUGUAUCAAGACAUAAAGGUGAACUCCAUCGUGCCCAGAGAUUCUGUCGUCUGCCAGCCACGGCCACAAUGUGAUGCCUUCAUGUCCAGCUCCCUGCAGCGUGACCCGCAGCCCUUCAACAAGCGCCACUGCAGGAGCUUUGACUUUCUCGAGUCAUUUGACGACCAGCUGGAGCCUGGCACCGCCAUGGAGCGCCCCUGCCGGCGCCCGGGCACCCCGGAGCCCUCCUCAGGCGCUGGCAUGCGAAAGGCAGCCUUUAAGUCAGAUGUUUAUAACACCAGGUCCCACCCUCAUGGGAGGGAAGGCCCCAAGGAACCGUCUGUCCGGGCAGAGCCAAAGAGGAGAGCGAGGUCAAAGAGUGCCCCCCGCGUGAAAUCCACCUUCACCCCUGUUUCCAUCCAGAUGUCCUCCUCUCCCCCGCCGCCCACAAGGAGAGGGCGUGAAGUGCUGCGUGUUGGCAGGGAGCCUGCCAGGGUGGAGACCUCACCACGCCGGGAAAGCAGCUAUGUGCCCAUGAGAGCCAUGGCCAAUGAGGUGCACCCCAUCAAGCUCCAGCCCCAGAGGAGCAGUGCCAGCCGCAUCUCACCGCUCUGUGUCAGCAGCAACUGCUUUGAGGAUGCCCCCGGCAUGAAGCCAGCUGCCAGCCCGCAUGUCAAGUGCCGGAUGGACAUCAAGCCAGACGAAGCGGUGCUGGUGCAUGCGGCACGCAGCAUAAAGGCAGCACAGAACAGGAUGGAGGCACCAUAUUGGCCGAGGCCUCCUGGCACUGCUAGGAGCCUGACCGUGCCCAGCAGCAGGCAAGUGCCCAUGUCUCGUACCCCCACACCCAGUGACUCCUACAGUGGGGAGCACCGGGUCGUCCCCUACCCCAAUGAGUACUAUGAGGGGGAUCCCCGGGGGAUGGCUUACCAGACAGUGCCUGUGCCCUCCCCUCGGGAGUAUCCUGAAAGGGGCUGUGUGAGCUUCUCCACCCCAGCUGUGCCCACAAAGUUCUUCUAUACUGAGGAGCCCGUGGGGUGUCCUAGCAUCCCACUGAAAAGCUCUGGCUAUGAAGGGUACCCUCACCCCUAUCCCGCACGUCCCAUCCCUCCACCGCACUUCUACCCAGAGGACAUAAGCAAGGGAAACGUGCACACCGUCCCCCCCAGGACUUUCUAUGUGGAAGAAGCAAGGACCUACCCCAUCCAGGAAGCCCCCAGCCACACUUUCUAUGGAGAUGACCCUCGUUUUUUUGCCCCACGGAGUGCCCCCAUCAAAACCCUGUAUGCAGAGGACUCCCGGGCCUACCCCGCCCUAAGCUCCUCUGCCCGGGUUUUCUAUGCUGAGGAUUAUGGGAAAUACCAUGAGAGAGAAGCCAUUUCUAGGACGUACCCUCACCCCCGCAGUGUCCAACCCUUGCACUUCAGUGACUGGUACUGCCCAGACCGGGGGGCGCUGCCCUAUCAGACUUUGCAGAUGUCUCGCUUUGCCCCCCACCCCUCUGGGCACGAGGCUUUGCUUUCCUCCUGGCACGCCAGCUACAGCACAAAUCCACCCAGGCUGGGCACUGACAGCCGGCACUACUCCAAGUCCUGGGACAACAUCCUGACCCCCAGCAUCCGCCACGAGGAUCCCAUGUGCCGCGGGCGCAGCUAUGAGAACCUGCUUGCCCAGGGCCACCACCAACGUGCCUUAUCACCUGACGACCGGCGGCAGCCAGUGGUGAUCAACCUGUCCAGCUCCCCAAAGCGAUACGCUGCACUGUCCCUCUCGGAGAACUCUCUCAUAGAGAGGGUGCACUCGGAUGGUGGGAGGUACGCCAUGGGCCGGUCCUGGUUCGUCACCCCGGAAAUCACCAUCACAGACAACGACAUUAAAGCCAAUGGCCUGGGCAAGAGUGAGAAGCGCUCGGCCAGCUGGGAUGUGCUGGACGCGGGGCGGGAUGGGCACCGCCCCUAUGCUACACCCUACAACCCAGGGCCCGCUACCAAAGAGAGCACUCAGAGCAGCUCUGCCCGCCAGCGCAGCCUGGAGCAGCUGGACGAGCUCAUCACAGACCUGGUCAUUGACUACAAGCCACCGCCCAGCCACCGCACUGCCGACGGUGACAGCCUGACGGACCAGCUCAAGAAGCUGAUCAGUAAUGGCGCGCCAGCACCUGCCAGGAAGCCAGAGUUUCAGAGGCCACCACUGUCCUCCGCCAUGGAGCCCAGGCCUACCAAGGAGCAGCCAGGGCCCAGUUGCUUCCGCAGCGACCUGCGCAAGGAGCAUGGUGGGCCCUCUCUGGCAGCAUCCAUUUCUAGCAGCAGUUUUGAGAAGCAGCUGGACGACUGCUCCCCGGACCUGAGCGCUGAGGAGGACGACAUGAUGAUGUGCUCCAAUGCCAAGUGUCGGCGGACAGAAACCAUGUUCAAUGCCUGCCUCUAUUUCAAGUCUUGCCACAGCUGCUACACCUACUAUUGCUCCCGGAACUGCCGCCGGGAGGACUGGGACAUCCACAAGGAGAACUGCAUCUACGGGCGCAUAGGGAGUAUCUGUCGGCAUGUGCUGCAGUUUUGCCGGGAGAACGCCGAGGUGCACAAGGCUUUCUCACGCAUUGCCAAGGUUGGGUACCUCUCCCGGGGUCGGGGGGUGCUCUUCCUGGGCUUCCCCAACUCGGGCUCAGCUGAAAACUUCCUCCAGUUUGGCUUGGAGAGCUUGCUCAUGUCGCCUACCUACCUGUCCCUGCGGGAGCUGGAGGGUUACUCCGACAACCUGGGGGAUUAUGCCCGGGAGCUGCGGGAUGCUGGCAACCAGUAUGACCCCGAUGAAUGUUUCCUCUUGAAUGUAACUGUGGCCGUUGGCCAAAAAGUGCCUCAGAGGCCAUCGCCGAAGAUGCAGGUGCCAACGGUCAGGAAAUAUGCCAAGGUGGCCUUAGCCUCUUCUAGCCCUGAGAAGAAGAUCCUGAAGAAGGAGCGGGACAUGGAGACGUUGAUCCUGACCCCACCACCCGGCACUGCAGACAUCGACAAGGAGGGCGAGGAGGGGAGGAAGGCCCGGGAGGUGUGCUUCAUCAACAUCCAGCGGGAGCUACGGAUCCGUGGCGUCUUCCUGCGCCAUGAGUUCCCCAAGAUCUAUGAGCAGCUCUGUGAUUUUGUGGAGAGCAACAAGAGGUUCACACCCACCACCAUUUACCCCAUCGACAAGAGGACCGGCAAGCAGUUCAUGUGUAUGAUCAUGGCCGCCUCGGAGCCACGGACCCUGGACUGGGUCGCCAGCCCCAACCUCCUGGAUGACAUCAUGUGAUCCAGCCCCGUGGCCACCUCUCUCCUGUCUGGCACCCAGGCCUCUUAUUUAUUUACCCUUUGUAGAUACGUAUUUUAUUAUGGACGCACUAGCCUGGCCGGUCAGUAUAUUCUUAUCGUUUCUAACAGAUACGUGUUGGCUCGCAGCCCUAGGGGAGUCCUGAGGAAAGAUUGCUGCCCUGCUGGGAAAGCAUGGGUUCAUGGACUCUUAGCAGGUCUCUGGCCACCCACGUUUGUUGCCACUGGUUGGCUAGAUCAGGAGCUGCUGAGGUCUCCAGGUCCUGGUUUGUCUGGGUGGAGAUGGAGGGCUGGGGAGUGGGCAAAGGGACAUGGCUGGUUGUGGGGUAUGAAGUUUGCCAUGAGGAGAGGAGCCCUGCAUGUUGGGUAAGGUCAGUGCCCUGCCCCUGGGUCUGAGGUACAUGGGGUGUCUGGGAGAUUCCAUCACUGCCUUUCCUGGUGACCUCUAGCCAUGGCACGGGGCUCUCAAGCCACUGGCUCUCAGCUGUUCUAGGAACAGCUCGUCCUGAGUAGGAUCCCCAGCCUCAGCCUGUGGCGCCAACCACUAGACAACAAGGCUACCUCUGAGCAUACAUGGACGUGCCCACUCCUGUGACCCAGGCGGCUGGCAGGCUGUAGCCAUGCACAGGUGAGCAGCCCUCCCCUCACCCAUCCUUGUUUAAUUCUGCAAAUAGCCAGCAAGGGGAUGGGUGUUAUCCUGCCCUCUGGGAAUGUUCCUGCCAAGCAUGCGAGGCAGCUGACACCCAUUCAGCUGCACAUGUGCAUAGGGGAGAGGGCACGGGGCCAUGUCACAGUGCCCACAGGUGUGUUUGGGGCUCACCAGGGGCCUGUUUGUGUGAGGCUUACUGCCACCUCCAUCCAACAUGCCUGUUCCCCUGCCUGCUGCCACAUGUACCCACAGUCACUCUACCCACAGUUACUCCCCUUGCCAAACCUGCCACCCUCCAGCACCUCCCCAGGCCCAGUCAUUUCCCACUGCCAAAACAAGGGCCCUAUCCUGUGUGGUACUGAGCAUCUCCAGUCCUUUACUCUCCCUGCCCUCUUAGUAGGAGCAGGGGGUGCUGCACCUCAGGAAAGAGCCUGGAGUGGAAACUCUGGAAAGACCCCUGAGGCCCUGUGUAGACUCAACAAGGGAGGCUGGAGAUUGAAGUGCCAAGGCAUUUCCUGCCUUUCAGUGAGGCCAAGCUAAAGCCCCACAGCAGCAGCACCUAAUCCUCCCUCGUGGCAAGGCCCAGGUCCAGGCCCAGUCUCUUCCUCUCACUUACACCAGUGCAGCGCCACCUCUGCUGCAGCCAGCCCCAUGGUGUAGCUGAGAGGGGCCUGGGGAUGCUGCCUCUCAGUGGGGGCCCACUGGACAGACAGGGCUGCCUUCCCAGUGCCCCCAGUGUGUGUAUCUGGCUCCCCUGGGUGCUGGGAGAGCAGUGUGGGCAAGGCUUAAGCUGGGUUUUGGUGCUAGGACUGUCUUCAGUGCUGGGAUCCACUUGCAAUCGGAGUGAACCAAAUGUGACCAUAGAAACAGACUGUGUGGGGGAAGGGACAGAGCUGGGUCCUUUUGGUGCCUCAAGCUCCCCCCAGCAAGGAUGGGGUUAAAGUAACCCCACUGCAGGGCUGUGCCUGCAGCAGCAAUGAGGCAUUGUGCAAAGGCCCCAGAAUUGCAGGAUGCCCCGGUGGGGGGGGCACAGCCUCCAUCCCCUGGUACCCAAGGGGAUAAGGUUGGGCUGCCAAGGGUGGGUGGGCUUCUCAGGAGGAGGUGGAGGGGAGCAGGCAUGUGGCUGAAGGCAGGCACCUACAGGUAAAGAGCCACAUGUGUUUUAUAGAUGCUCUUAGUUGGGAGUCAGUGCCUUGGCCAGGAGGGGAGGGGAGGGGUUGCUGCAGUGCAUGGGGCAUGGCAUGGCAUGGGGUGCACAGAGCAUGCAUGGAGCAUGUGGCACUGUGCUGGGGGUCUGUGUGCAUGAGGGCAGAGGCAGGUGGGCCUGGGUGGCAGCUUGGCGCUGGGCAUGGGCAGCGUGUGCCCAUGGGAGUGAGGAGCUGGUGCUUGCAUGCUGGCGGGGUUGCAGAACUGCCCCCUCUCAGGGCUAGGGAAGCAUACAUGGAGGUGCCUGGCAUGGGGCAGCUGCCAGGGCAGGGACAGCAGUGUCUCUGGGUGGGGGCCUGAUGUGAGGCAGGGGUUGGGGACUGCAGUGUAAAUCCAGCCAGGGACCUGGCCCUGCCCACAAGUGGCAGCCAGAUGCCUUUGGGAACUUCCCUGACCCCACAAGGGGAGCAGCCCUAGCACAUCCUGAUGUGUAUGAGGAUCCUGUAGCUGGGGCAGAAACCACCUGCCCCAGAGGACAGGGAGGGGAGAGAGCACUGUGAUCCCCACCUCCAUCCUGCCUCCCUGCCAUGGUGCUGGAGCCCCUACCAGCCCCAGGCAGCUUGAGGACACCCUGUCAUUGCCACCACCUUCGAGUCUUUCUUGGCCUGCAAGGAGGCUGGGCCCGCAUCAGCAUCAGCCCAAUGCCAAGGCCUGUUGGGAAGCAUCUCCUGCCCUCAGAUUGAUCUUGGCAAAUGCAGCAGGGCCUGUGAACUGCUGGGAGCUCAGGGAGGGCUCCUGUUAGUGCUCACCACACAUGUACACACAGGCAUGCCCUCCCUCCACACAUGCACACGUGUUCCCUUCCAGUCGUGCACACAUGCCCACACAUGCAUGUCCUACUGCCACACAUGCACAUGUAUGCCCUCCCACCACAUACAAAUGUGCACACGUGCCUUCCCAUCGUGCGCGCGCACACACACACACACACCCACCCACCCUCCUCCCACACCCAUUGUAUUUCUUAUUCUUGGCAGUGUGCAGAGCUGAGGGGCAGGUCUCUGCUGUCUUCCAGACACACUCCUUGUUUCUCCCAGCACCAGUCACCUAUAUACGAGGGGCCUGGCCCCCUCACCCCACUGUAUGUGAGCAGUAACUCAGUGGAGCUUCUAGGGGACAGGUGACAGUGACCCAUGAGGUUCCCUGAGUGCAGACAGGGUGGCUGUGCCUGAAGCCAGGGUCCCUGUCUCCCUAGAUCCCCUGGGCUGAGCUGUCCAGCUGCCUGCCCCACAGCUGCUGGGCUUAGCCUCUCCCCCAUGUUAGCUCCCCCAUAUCCUCUCUGCAGCAGAGGCCCUUGGGGACUAACCUUUCAGCUGCGUGAUCUCCCAGCCCUGUGCUCUGUGCUUGGGAUCUCUGAUUUUUUAGGACUCACAUGCCUCAGGCAUUGUUGUACAGCCAGCCCUGGUGUCCCAGCGAGGCAGCUGCGGCUCUGCCCUGGGCUGGGAGUCAGGCCUGUGCAACAGGAUGGCUGUUGCUGGGGACGGGAUCUCUUUGAAAGCCGCUGGGGAUCUAUUGGCUGAGCUGCUUCCCUGUGGGAUCCAGCACUGCCAUGAGCACAGCACACCUGUUCCUGAGCUCCCUGGAGCAAGGGCUUGUCCUUCCCAUCCAGUCUGGCACUGGGAUUCUCAUGCUAGAGCUGAGCAGUGGGUGGGAGCUCAAUGCUGCACUAAAGCUGGAGGGAGAUGCUUCCCCACAGGGCAGAACAAGCUUCUCUGAGUGCAGGAGGGUGGAGGGACCAGCAAGAAGCCUGUUAAGGCUUGGGGGAGGAAAGGGGCCAGGGGGAGCAGCUCAUCAGCACCCCUCACCCCAGCUCUGAAAUGGGAACUCCUUGGUGUGUUCAUCAGGCACAGCCUGACCUCACAGAGCUGCAAGGGAACAGGGAGUGGCUGACUUCUCCAGGCUGCUUGCUUUUCCCCCAGGUGGCAGCCCCACUGUCUCCCCAGUGGGCUGGCAGCAGAUGAAGGCUCAAAAGGCUCCCAACUGCUGUGAUCCUCCUGGGUAUGCUGCAGCCAAGCCCUGGGCUGGUGCUGCGCUUGGGUUGUUAGAGCCAUGUGGAGCCAGACCAGCCCCCUGCUUUCCUGCCAGUGGGUCCGUGCCCUGCAGCACAAGCAACACACCAGGCUGGGGCAGAGCAGGGGCAGGAAGUGUGAUACUGGCAGGGUCCCUGCCAAAGGGCAAUGUGGUGACCACAGCUUUUGCUGGCGGGGUCUGGAACCCCAGUGUCCUCCCAGCAAUGUGCCCCCAGGCCAGGAGGGCUGGGGAAAGCCCCUGCCGCAGAUGGGCUGUUGCUAGGGGGCUUUGUCCCGUGAGGCUGCAGCCGCAAUCCAGGCACCUGGCAUGCGACAUUCUUUGAGCAGCUGAGAGAGCCAAGGCUCGUAAACAUCCCUUCCUGGCUCCCAGGCGAUGCUCCCCCUUGGAACUGCACUGGUCCUGGGCACAGGGCAUGGGCCCAUGAGGGCCUGGGCAGGAGACAGGGAGUUGCAACUAUUGUGUCCUCGCCAUCAUUCAGUACCCUUAGAGGAGCUCAGGCCCUGGCACAGGGCAUGGCCUCAAGCCAUGAUCUCUGGUCUGCCUCAGAUAGGGAAUGCCCCCUUCCCUCUCCCUGCUUCACCUCUCUCCUGCUUGGCCCUUCCAAGGCCAGGUCACAGGAGCCCUUUCGCCCUGAUGUGUUGUGCGCUGGCCUGAUCUCCACCUUGGCAAAGGUUCCCUCCCACCAGGCCCCUUCCCACUCCUGCCUGAAGCACAGAGCCUCCCCGGUGACGCAGAGAGGAAUCAGUCUUCCCUCCCAGUUGCGGAGCUCCCUUGCCCCCCACUAUUGAGAAGAGCAGCCAGGAACAAGCUCUCCCCUUGGCCAAGCUGGUAUCUCUGGGAGCCGUAUAUAGUGCCACUGUCUCCCUGGGCACCACUGGCCCCAAGUGAGAGGCUGGGCUGAAUUGCGGGUGCUUGGUCCUGCUUGGGCCCCAUGCACAACUGCUUGCCCCAGCCUGGGAGGGCUCCAGGUGACCGAGAUGGACUGUGGAGCUGUGCAACUCAGAGUGCAUCAGAGGAGCUCACUGGUGCUGGGCAUGGUCCUGGUACCUCCUUGGCAGGGCUACAGCUGUGGGGGUGGCAGAAAUGAGGCCUCAGUGCCCUCUCUCCCCACCCCCUGCUGCCUUGUGCUCUUGGGAGAGCUACGUGCCCUGUGUGGGUAGGAUCAGCCAGCCCAGGGUAAACAGGGCUUUGCCUCUUCCACCCUGAGAAGGCUGCACUAAGGACCAGCUCCAACGGUAAGGAGCAAAGCCAGAUGGAGCAGCAGCAUCUUGUGAGGCAUCUGCUACAGGAGGUAGAAGCUCAUCACUGCUAGACACCAGCUGCAGCCAUCUGCCAUGUUCAGCCUUGGGGUAAGCCUCUGCAGCUCCAUUGCCCUUAGCACUAGGCAGCGCUGCAGGCAAGGGGGCUGCAGCUGCAGGAAAUGCAGAGAGGGGCCUAUGGCAGCUCCUGGCUGGUUUUGGAAAUGCUGCCCCUUUGCAGUCUCACUGCUGCUGGAAAGUGGCUCUGCCUGUGUGUGGAUGCUCAGCAGACAGAUCUGCUGGCCCACAUGGAGGCUAACAGUGUCUCCACCCAUCAGCCAACACUGUCUUCUGCGGGGAAAGGGCCUGCCCACAAGCACCUGCUGCAAGGCCAAGAGAAUCCAAGCCAUGUGCUGGGGUGAUGUGAUGAGAGACGGCCCCAGCACGGGGCUCUGGGGCUGAAAUUCAUCCCAUAACUGGACAUAUCCCUUAGCUCUUGCAGUGUCUCGGCCAGCUGUCAAGAAUGAUGUUACCAACCUACCUUGGGCACUGGGGGAGGCUGUGCAGAUUAGGCCAUGCUCACUGAGACCCAUACACUAAACACAGUCUCUGCAUCCUGAAUUCCCAGGAAGGGCAGGAGAUCAGCCUCAGCCUGUUGCCUUCCCAGCCAAACUCAGAAAGGGCCAGUGCACUUUUUGCCUAAUUGAAAAUGCCAAGGAGAUGUGAAAGCAGCAAGAGAGCAGCAAGGGGAAUUGAAUUGGCUGCCAAAUGCCUUGUGCAGGGAACUGAUGCCAAAUGCCUGCCUUAGUGAGGUUGGAAAUCAGAGCCUGGAUCCUCAGCUGCUCUAGAUUAGUGCAGUUUGGGUCGAUCAAAGGUGACACUGACUUACUCCAGAUGAGCAUUUGUGCCUGGAGCAGCCCUGUGCUAUGGAGAGCACCUGAGAGUGGUGGCCGUGGAAGGAAUGGCUGGGCUCUCAGCUCUUGAUGCUGCUUGCUUCCCAUCAGUGCAGACAGGGAGAGAAACUUGUUUCUCAGAGUUGCCAGCACCAUGUAUUGCAUUGGUUUCUGCAAGCCAGUCCUGUUUGCUGGGGCUGCCUUUCAUUCCCCCUACUGCUGUCUUUGGAGUCAAGUUUAAAGCCAACAGGUCUUGCAGCCCAAAUCCUUUGGCUAGAAAGCUCUGAGCAGUGCUUUCAGUGUCCUGUGUGUCAGAUCCUGGCACCACACCUGGGCUGGGAUCUGUGCAUGUAUGGUCUUUGCUUGUGCAUGGGAAAAUGGGGGGCUGAAUGUGUUAUUUGCUUGUGGGGUGAUGGCUGUGCUAAGUGGGGUAGCAGUGAGAGCUCCCUGGAGGGCAAUCAGCUUUCUGGGGCAGAGAAGAAAGAAGAGGAGGCAGAAAGUCACACUGCAAUGGAGGGUAGUUAGUACAGUUGGGAUCUCCUGGGAGACAGGAACAGUCUGGCCUUGCUCCUAUGGAGCCCACAGGCAUUGCUGUCUUCUGGACUAAAGACCUGGAUCCAGCUAUCUUAUCGCUGGACAGGGGUAACCCAAGCUGCUGGGGCUUCCAAGUCCAGAUCCCAAUGAAAAUUGGGGUCCCUGGUGCCAGAGAGUGCAGAGCUGACUUGCUAUACAGAGAAAAGCCAGCUGUGUUCUCUGGUACGUGAUUUUGCUACAGACCCAUUUCCACUCUGAGCACAUCGAUUAAAUUUUAAGCACUAAUCCCUUGGCCCUGGGAGGCUGAAUUUCCUCAUGUGAUGAAUCACUAAUGCAAAUGCAUCAGAACCAUGAAAGCACACAUUCUGGUUUGGCCCAGUGCCAAGGGAGCGAGUAAAAAAUGCCUGCUGUUUUGGCACUAGCGCUGGACCUCUUGGUGUGCUCCUACAACCAGCUGCCUGGGUCAGCAGGAGCAGCAGCCAUUCCAUCAACAGGGGCAGGAAUCCCUCAGCUACAGCACUGUCAUGGGCAGGCAUCCCUCCACCUGGGUAGCACCCACUAGCUGAGCAGGUGGGAUAAUUUCUGUUGUAAGAGCUCAAUAGUAGGAGCCAGACCUGCCUAUCAGGACACUAUGGAGAGGACUUCCUUCCCAGCACCGCUGGGGUGAGCAAGACAUCUUUCUCCCAAUAUUUUUAUCUUGGAUUUCCUGCUUUCCAACAUCAGACUACAUUGGGCUGUUUUCCUUUGCUCUCUCAGCGGUGGCAUGUCCCUUCCCCUCUCACCUGCAGAGCUGUGACUUCUUCCUCCCAUGGCAGUGGGGGAAGGCAAAAGCACUUUUGCCCCAUUUUUGUAGCUAACUGUUCCUUUGCACUGUCUAGGGUCUUACCCAUAUUUUAUAGCUAAGAUCUGAGCAGAUCCUCUGACCACAAGGUUUUGAGGAUUCUUUCAGCGGUGGCCCAACUCUUCCAUCCAUUCUUCCUCCCGGUCUAACAAAAUGAAUAAUAAAUAAAAGAGUGAAACAGCAUCUUCUCAGCUGGGCUCCCAGGAGGCUUUUACUGAAACCAGACAGAGUUCUUUGAUAAAUGCAUGUUCUAUUUAUUUCCUUUUUUAUGAUGCAUAUUAUUGAAGAGUUGGGUCUCGCGUCUCCUCUUGUGCAGAGCAGAAAUACUAGGUUUGUAUUUUAUGACGUUUCGUUGUACAAUUCCCGCUGGUGUCCCACGGCACAGAUUCUGAGAUAUACUUAUAAUGAGAGAUCUAUUUCCUUUGAAUAACCAUAAAGUAUAACUUGAAUGUACAAUGGUGAGGCCUGCCUCUUCUGUCUGGCUUUGGUGGGGAGGGCAGGCAGCGAAGAUGAAAGCAGAGGCCUGGACUGAAGCAAUUACAGGGCCGAUCAAAGGAGGAUAAGACAAGAGCUUUGUUAGAACUCAUUGGAAAAGAGGAGCGAGGGCCGGUGACGUAUGUGUGACCAUUGGGACACAGAGCUGUGAUGUGGUGCAGAUCCAAACCCACCCCCAAAAAGAAAAGCCUUCUCCCCAACCCUCCAAGAGACAGCUUCUUAAGCCUCCAAAAGUGUUAGGGACCCUACAGUAGCCUGGGUUAAUGGUAUACACAGCCACACCCGCCUGUAACUUUGACUGACAGCUCUACCCCAGCUAAUUAGCUGACUGGCUUCCUGAGCCGCUGGGAGAGAAGCUACCCAUUUAGUUCCAGCUGUGGCAGCAGGCUCCAGGCCAGCCAACACUAUCGACUCAGAGGAGGAUGUUCACCACUGGCUUGAAGUUGCAGCAAAGCAAAUUUAGAUCAGAUAUCUGGAAAAGGUCUUCACCGUGAGUGCAGUGAGGCAGCGGAUCAGACGCCCAAAGGAGCGGUGGACUCCCCAUCACUGGCUGUCUUCAAGAAGAGGUUGGACAGCCGCCGGCUGGGGUCGUCUAGGCGCAGCGAUGCCGUGUCCUGCCGUGGGGAUUUCCCAGGCUCCUGGGCUUUGCUGCUUGCCCCCUCCUUCUGCUACUGUUCAGUGUUUUCAAGCCCUUGUCAGAGGUGCCGGGUGUUGGCUGCAGCCCAGGCCUGGGGCUCCCGACCCCGACCCCGACCCCUACCCCUACCAAGGCUGCUGUUGGGCCCAAAGCCAGAGGUUUGUGGCAACAGAGCCUGGCCCCUCGGCUCCGGCUCAGACCGACCCAGAUCUGGGGUCAGGAAGGAAUUUUACCCUAUAAUCAGACAUGGUGGGGGGGACACGACUGUCCGCUCUGCAGGGACUCCGGCCUCUCCCGACCCCAGGGCCUGCCCUGGCAGCAUGGGGCACAGCAGGAAGCCGUGGCCGGCUGGGUGAGGCCUGGUCUGUGGGGCCCAGGGACUGGCCAGGGGGUUGCGGGGCGGUC